UGUAAUUGAGAGGCAAUUGUAAUAAUGCUUAUGACAUGUAUGUCUUUUACAUAUGCAUAAGAGUUAAUUGCUUUUUGAUUAACAUGAACAUAGUGAAACUUUACAUUAUAAAGUGAUCAUACAAUUUUCUAUGAGUUGCAUGAAAAAGAGAGAAAAUAUGGCUAUGUUUAUCAAGAUUGUUUAUGCUAUGAUCUUGCUUGUUUUCACUAUUCUUGCUCUAACCUAUGGUGAUCCUUCAUGUACUCAUGACUAUAAUUGUCCGUUUAUUGAUUGCCCUACCCAUCACAUGAAGUGCAUUUCAAAUAGAUGUUAUUGCGAUCAUCCUCAUAGUGAAGUUAUUAAAUUAUUAUAAGUUACUCAUAUGCCUAAAAUUUUAUUUGAUCAUUAUAAUGUUGAUACUUUGAUAUAUCUAUUGCCACUCGCACAACCAUUGUUAAUUUCAUUAUCGUUUUCAUUACAAUCUCACUUUUCACAUGAUUUUGUAAAGUAAAAAUGCGUUACAAUAAUUUAUUGUUUAUGUGCUAUGGAAAAUUUCCCUUAGGAAACCACACUCAAAUUGAAUGCAGAACACAAACAUCAAUAGCAAAUUUUUGGUUCAAAUAAUUAAUAUGAGUCACUCACUUGUGACAUUUUUAAUUUUCCAUUUCUUAGGUUCCAUUAUCCUUAACCUUGGGACUUCUUAUUUUCUAGUGAUUUUUAUUCAAACUAACUAACUCUCUCUCUCUCCCUCCCUCUCUCUCUCUCUCUCUCUCUCUCUCUCUCUCUCUCUCUCUCUCUCUCUCUCUCUCUCUCUCUCUCUCUCUCUCUCUCUCUCUCUCUCUCUCUCUCUCUCUCUCUCUCUCUCUCUCUCUCUCUCUCUCUCUCUCUCUCUCUCUCUCUCUCUCAUUUUUUAAAAUUUUUCUGUUUGUUUAUUUUUUAGAUUAUUUAAACAUCAGUUAGAUUGUUUGUUUGUCUAUCUCUUGGUUUAUCUAUUUGCCAUAUUGUUUAUUAAUUUGUUCAAUUAUAUGUUUAUUAUCUAAUAACGUAUUUACUUAUUUUAUAAUUUUGUUUGAUUGUGAAUUAUUAUUUAUUAUUCUCUUGGUUGUUCCUCCACUUAUUGAGGAUGUACCAUGCCUUUCAUGUUAACUGUUUAACAAUGACAUUCCACAAUCUUAGAACCCUUCAACUAGCACGGUCAAUCAGGAGAUUAACGCCCUCUUGUGAUGAAUAUUGCUCUCCCUUCAAAGGAAAUUUCUAGCUAAUCAACAUGACGAGAGGCUAAGGCCAGUAUAAAAAAUGAUUUAGGCCUCUAGAUACAAUCAGGGCCAUGAAGAAUGGGUAGGGGAGUGAUGCAAGUAGAUGAUGAAGUUGUGUCAUUCACUAGUGAAGAUCAAAUGGUGUUUUCCUUUUGUCGAAAAACUCAAAACCAUCACUGACACAUAUCUUGCUCUCUAAGACCAUAUAGGAAUUUUCCCUUCAUACUUCAUCAUCAUCAAUAUAUUCACCGUAGAUGACAUCACAUAUAGCCAUCCCCUUCUUCCUCCUCUAAUAGACUUGAUGAUGAAUAAGAUUUCCUAAAAAGAAAUGUGUUCACCCAAAGGAUCAUGGAUUAUACUAUUUGUAGAGAGCUUUAAAAGAACUUAGAAAUGGUAAGCUACGACAAAAUAAACUAGUUUUGAGGGAAACGUGUAAUUCGGUGAAAAGGAACGAAGAGAGGUGGUGUCCCUCACGUCCAAAUAAGACCUAAUUCUAAGUAAAAAAAGUCGGCUAAAUAUCAUUUUUUGAUGAAGAAUUGGUCAACAUAAUCCCCUGCUGCCAUGCUGCCAUCCUGGAGAGAAUAGUUAUGGUGAACUGUGAUGUUCUUCAAGUCUUAAUUGAUCAAGGUAUAUCCUAUGACAUCAUGUAUGCAAGAUUACUAAAUGUCCCAUAACUAACUUGUGAGGUUUUGAUACCAUGCAUGGAGAGCGACUUACAAGGGUUUCAUACUUCAACCUUCAAUUCUUGGGGUUACGUAUAUCUAAUGAUUAUUUUUUGGCAAAGAAAGUUAAGAAUGACCCAAAGUAAAAAAUUUCAUCGACAAUCCCACACUAGAAAAUUUAGAAUUUAUAUCAUCAAUACUCCACCUCAAACUUAAAUAUCACACGAAAGGAGACGUGGUGACCACCAUUGAUGUUAAGUUAGAAGAAUGAAAGUUUUGUUUCCUCACAUCCUUUAUACUUCACUAGAAAAGUUCAAUCAAAGAUUAAAAGGUCUCAAAGGAGAAAUAGGUUUCCACUACCAAAGGAAAUAUGAGCUUAAAGGGUAAAGAGGUUGCCACUACCAAAGAUUAGGAGAGCUCAAAAAGAAAGAGGGAGUCGUCAAAUGGUUGAAUUUUAACCUCACUAAUGUCUAGGAAAACUCAACAAAUAUUUUAUUAGUCAGGAAUCAAAUAACAGGAGGGAGAAGGAUGGAUUGCCUACCAAAGCGAGGAAGAGAUGAGGAACCGCAGUAAAUACCCCAAAGAAAUGUCAUCACAUGAGCAAUUUCUGAUGCUUUAGUUAAACUUGUUUAUUUCGUUUAAGAUUAAAAGAUAUCUUUCAUAUCCAAAUCAUUAAUAAAAUACAUGUAGGAUGGUGGAUACCUUUUAUUAAUAUAAUAUCCAAAGACAUAGCCCCCACCCACCCACAAGUCAUAGUUAAAAAAAGAAAAUAGUCAUAAUACUUUCUAAAAGAGAGGCUUAUUCCUUUCUAUAGAGAAAGAACAAGGACUAUGAAUAUGCCAUCAAUGAUAGAAGGUACCUUUCUUCUUGAUUAGCUAUUGACUAGCCGAAGAUUUCCCUAGAGGUGUACACCUGACAUCCAAGGUUAUAUCCUAAUAAGAGGGGCAUAAAGAGGACGAUCCUAGGUUAGGGAAUCUCUUAUUAAGAAGACACAUGAAAAAUCAAAAGCUAACAACAAUGUUCAUGGAAGAUACACACAUACAUAUCAUCAACCCUAGCCUAAUUUAUUGGCUUCCUGUAUAGAAUCUUCACAACAACCUAGUGAAACUACCCAUCUCGCAUUUCAUCUAGCUAUUCUGGAAAUUCACGAUAUCUAGAUGAUAUUUGAAUAAUGACUUUGAGAUCAAUGUGACAAACUAGGCUUUAACUUGCUUUACACGAAACAAUUAGUAAACCAACAUAGUAAUUACAAAAGAAAAAUGUGAUCAAUCAUAAACAAUUGGAUAUGAUUCCUUUUGCACGUCUAGAAAGUAUUUUCAUACGCGCUUUUACAAGAUAACAGAUGAAUUUUAACAGCAGAUGAUCUGAUUACCUUUGAUUAUCCUUCUAUUAAGUAUAUGAUUAGCUACUUUAUUGCUUUGAACUUAUGCCUGGACAAUAUUGGAUAAUUCAUUCAACAUUUUGACAGGGAUAUGGCUCUAACAAAACUUGGUGCUUUGAACUUCUUAGAAGCUUGUUGAAUAAUUUGUGAACAUACUAAUCUUUACAAAACUGUUUUCUUCUUCUUUUACGAUUACCUUGGAAUAGUGGGUCAACUAGGAGAUGAUUAACUUAGCUUUAAGAAUAAUCAUAAUGUAGGGACAAAACUUUAAGCUAUAAUGCUAUGUUUCUGGUUACCUACAUACAACUAAAAAAUUUGUUAGCUCAUUCCUGGAUUGAUUUAGUUACAAUGAAAUUCUAAAUCACAGUUAAAGAUUUCUUAACCAACUAAAGAUGGAUUGCUUCAGAUAAUGCUAAGUAAUUUAUAUAAUGUUGUCAAUCAUACAUUCAGAUGAUUAUGAAACAUAUUGAAUCCUCUGGAUAAGAAAACUUUGAAAAAUACAACACCAUUCAGAUUAUUCUACCCAUAUCUUCAACUUUUGGAGUCUCAUAGACUUGAUCAAAAUAUCAGCUCUGAGGCCAAUUGUUGGGUGAGAAGAUGGGAACUAAAUGUUCUAAAAGUGGGAUUGAAUACAGAGGUGCCCUUAAAUCAUUUUUAAAAACAUUUUCUUUUACAAAAUUAGAGUUUGAAGUGUGGAAGCAAAAUGUGACAAGCAUAAGAAAAAAUACAGAGGAUGGAUUCAGGGAAUAUAUGCUUCCUCGUAUUCCUAAUAAGGAUGAUUCUAUCAAUAUUAAAAAUCACCAAGGUAACCAAAGUUGCUUUAACAAUAAAUUAAAUCCAAACCUUAGAAUUAACACGAUCUUAUUUUUAUAGAAUGAUCAAUAAAAUAGAUGCAUCGCACUCCUAAACUUAUAUGCACUACUACAAAUAAUACAUUUUAUGACAAAGUUUUCACCUCGGCCAAUUAAAAAUCGAGGUCAAAUACCCUGGAAAGCACCAUUUUAAUUUUUUUAAAAUCUAAUCGUAACCCUUGGUUGUUAAGUAAACCGACAGGAAAUGUAGCUCAAUGUUUGAGGUUCGAUUCCUAUCUCCUACAAUUUUAUGUUUUAUCUAGUAUCAAAAUGUCACCAUUAUUUUAUAUUUAUUUUUUUAUUACAAUAUAAAUCAUCUAUUCCCUCGGUUGUGUAUCUAACCGACAUCAAAUGUUGUUCAUUAUUUUACUUUAUUAAUAUAUAACUCAAUUUUUACAUCGGUAUUUGCUACCAACCGAGAUAUAAACUCCAAAUAAUAUUAAAUUCUAACAUCAUAAUAUUAACUCUCAUUCAAUUUUUCUAACUCCUAUAAACUUUUUUCGCCCUAGCAAGCGAACGAAAUCCCCACUUUUCAUAUUAUCCACCUAACAAACCAAAACACCAUUUUUCAUCUUCUCCGAGUCGAACAAAGUAAACAAAGAAGGAAGGAAGCUCGAAUAAGGAAACUCAAACCUCAAACCAACACAUUUCUUUAACUCUCUCAUCAUGUUUUCGGUAUAUAAAACUGUAUCCAUGAUUGUACUAGUAAUGUUGUUGUUGUUGUUAUUUUUGAGACUUAGGGUAUAAUAUUGUGUUGUUUUUCAAUUAUUUGUAGUUGUUGUUUAGUGUUACUGUUGUUUAUUGAGAUUGAAUGUUUAUUGUUGUUAGAUGUAUGUGAUUAUGGGUCGUAGUUGUAUGAAAGUCAAUAGAUUAAGUAAAGAGUAUGAGAAUGGAGUGAUUCUAUUUCUUAAAUUUGCGGAAAAAAUAUUCCUGACAAUAAUGGGAUUUUUUAUUGUCCUUGUAAAAAAUUUUGAGAUACACAAAAACCUGCAAAAUUGAUAUGGCGUGGCAAAGUGACAAAAAGACUUGUGUCACAUAGAGUUGAAGUUGGUGAAUAUAUGAAUGAUAUCGUAGAAGAUAUGAUACGUGAUAUUAGAGUAGAUUCUUUUAAAAAAACCAUAUAGAUGAUACUUUACAAUGUGACAUGGAAGAGAUGUUAUUUCUGGAUGCAAAAGGUUUACAGGAUUGUUAGUUGUAUUAAGAUUAUUUUGGAGAUUGAUUAUGUUACUUUUAAAGUGUCUUUAUUUAAGUGGAAAUGGACUGACAGUAAUACUGGUGUAGAAACCAAUAAAUUUGGAUUCAUACAGGUUAAUCUUUGAAAGGCAGCUUAUAUGAACGAACCAUUCAUUAUGAAAUCCCAAGCAAAACAAGGUUUUUAUGUCACUGAUUCUUCUAACAUUAGAUAGUCAAGAUUUAAAUUUUGAAACCCCUUAUUUCGCAACACAUGUACGUCUUUCAUCUGAAGAAAAUGAUUCAGAUGAUGUGCAUGUUAUUCGUUAUGACCAUCAAGAGGAGAUAUGGGAAAACUAGAAAGUAAAUAUACAUAUGGGAAAUGCUAACUAGUUCCCCAGAGGCACAGGUUAAGGAUUUAAAAAGAGAUGUCGAAGGAUAUCAUGUGUUGCAUAGUUUUAGAAAUAAAAGUGAGAAAAUUAAAAUUUCUAAAGUGCUUAAAGACCGGUUAUAAAAUUCACAAACGAAAAACUUAUGGACGGUUGUUCAAGAAUCAUUCAUUUAGGUUUUUGAUUUGAGAAACUCUUAUUACACCCAUAGGGGUUCUUAGGCACCAUGUGUGCUUCAAAAAUUAUCCCUCUGCUUCCGGAGGUGUAUCCUCGGGCGCACCUUUUUUUUACUUAGCAUGUAAAAAUUCCGUAGAUGCAUCUACAGAACCUUUCUGUAUGCAUAUCUACAGAAUAAACUAGAUACAGAAAACAAGAAAACCAACAUUGAUUGCAAUGAUAAAAACAACAUUCAUAGAAUAAAAUUGGCAUUACGCUGAUGAUUUUAACAGAAAAUUAAAUAUUAUAUUUCAAUAGCCUGGUGGGCGCUUGCACAUCUCUAAUAUUUGCUCGAUCGUUCUUUGUACCGUUGCUACGAACUUGAGUGGGAUUUUCUCUUCGAAAUCAAAAUACGUUCUCCACAUUGCCAAAACAUCCUCUCGGUUCUUGAGCUCAAAGUUGUUGUAAACGAUGUUCCCUCCGUUGUCCACUGAAGGUGAACGAAAUUCGAGCUUCACAACCUUUUGUUUGUCUCCGUAAGGUAGGAGAUAGAUGAUUUCUUCAAUGAUAUCAUCGAGCGAGGUGUAGUCAUUGAGUUCGAAUUCAUGCAUCCUAUCAACAAAAAGAUUUGGCCAUGUCUUGACAUCUGCGGUAGAAUGAAGCCCCUAUUCUGGUGAUGUAGGUGGUAUGGGGCAUCCCGGUUUCAAAUAAACUUCUAAAAAAUGACUCGAUUUUGCAAGUCAUCCAAUACACGUGAUGCAAUCAUUUGGAUUUAUAGGUGGUGCAGUGCGGAGCGGGAAAAAGGUUUCCAAAAAUCCUUAUCGCGUCAAGUCAAUGCACACCCUAUCAUAUGCACAUGCAAUAAGAUGUCCCAUUUCCGGGAAAAGUUUAUCGACGUGCUCACAAUAAAAAGGAGCCUGAGUAGUAGAGUUAUCAUUCGGUGUAGGCUUCAAUUUCUUCUAAGCACCCUUUAUCUUUAUCGAUUGAGAAGGCGGUUUCAUGUCGGUUGUUUCGAGAUAUCCAAUCUUCCGCAAUUAUUCUUUGAUGUGGAGUUUCAUGUUGUCAUCGACCUUCGAAAACCUCUCUUGUAUCGCUUCCAAUUUGGUAGAAAUAAAGAUAUUCAAUUUUUCUCCUUCGAUGCAACCAUCAUCAUCAAAACUAAGUAUUUUCUAAUGAGGGAUAACUUUCUCCAUUCUCAUUGGCUCACCUAGUUUCAUCUUUUUAGUAAUAAGACAAGCACACGGGAGACCAUAUGUUUUAGUAAUAAUGCAACCACAUUUUACGCUAUUGGAACCUACAAUUUCACCAUGCUUGGCCUCAUGAAAAAUAUUAUUCAACCCGGACCGAGACAUAUUGCUGAUCAAUUUCACCUCGUUUGGUCCAUAAAUCGAUAUUCUAACACCGUAAUGCUCCGAAAAAAUGUAGUUUGGGUCUCAUUAUGUUGGUUUUUAAUCAUGAGAUUUAUGGAGUCUCAAUCUCGACACAAGUCACCCUUGUUAUUAACCAACCAAUUUUUCAAACUAGCAUGUUCCAACUCAACUCUAUUGGUGGUUGUAUUCUCAAGAUGUCGUACAUUAUCAGUUCAUGCACAAACAAACUUCUCCUUCACCUUAUCAAGAAUGGUGCUUUCAAUAUAUUUCAAUAAAUUAGGAUACUUUUCACACACUUUCCGAAAUUGAAUGACGGAAUCGGCAUAUAAUUCUUUUGUCGAAGAAUUUACAAUAUGAUUCCAUGCAUCCAUUAUUUUUUCAACAAUCACACCUGGCUUCACCAAUUUUCGACCUUUGGUCUCUACUUGUUUCCCCCCUACCACGGGUUUAACCUUACUUCUCACAUUACAUGUUAUGUGAUAUUGAUAAAGUAAUGCAUUAGAAAAAGGAAAUACCUUUGCCACCGCAUUCAUCAACUUGGUAUUGCGGUUCGUAACAAUCGCCUUAGGCAUCUAAACUUGUUCCUUCAAAAGUGACAGACACACCUCUAAUGCUCACCUAAAAUUAUCCUCUUUUUCACACUCCAAAAAAGCAAAACCAAUCAUCUUAAAUAAUGGAAUUCUAUACUUGCUGAUCUUGUAGGUAGAAUCGAGAAUAAGGACUGCCGAGAACAUGUUAAGCAACUGUAUCGAAUCCGAAUGAGUCCAAAAAAUAUCUCGGACCUUAACUCCAUUGUUGUAAGCUCUAUACUGCGACACAUAACUAUUAUCAUCCAACAAUUUCAACAGUUGUUGCAUCUCAGUUCUAUCUCCCCUAAUCGGCUUAUUUUUGUGGUGCCGAAUUUUAUACAAUUGCCUUAUAUUUGAUACGUUGUCGGGUUCCUUCCAUUUAAAUGUUGCAACUAUAUUUUUCGGUUGGACAAGAUUCAAGGACAUGUAUUAAUACAUGUCUUGUCUUCCGGUGUGAGCCGACAUACAGGAUGACCUUGUAACUUUGAGCACAAUUCAUAGUUAUGCAAACCAUAAAUAACACUAAAUUUCUACUUCUGGCUAGCCAACAUAUAAUCACGAAUUUUAAAUUGACACUCACAUUUUGUACUACCCGUGUCGUCUCUUUUAAACAUCCGUAGAGGAGUAUGGUAUUUCCCGCUUCUUUCGCACAACAUUGUUAUGAAAGAAUUUCUUCUUUUCGAACCAUUAUCUGAUCUUCUUUUUACCACACAUAAACCAAGGCUAGUUGCAUUCCUACGAAUCCAUGUGAGCUUGCUAUCACGAUCAUCAAACUCUUGCUUGUUAUUAAAGUCACCGCCGAUAUCUACCGCCUUUACGACAGCCCCUUCAACAUUUGGAGAAACAUCGUUUGUAAAACUAAUUCUUUUGAGAUAUUAUCGGGGUGCACCAUACCUAUUUGUAAACAAUAACAAAAAUAACACAAAAUCACAAGACUGUUGGAAAAAUAGCACAGACAUGUUCCGGAGAUGUACCUACGGAACAUAGUCAUCUUCAACACGUUCCGGAGUUGUACCUACGGAAGCAAUGUUACAGUUUUUACAAAAUUUUGAUGCAUAAUUUGAGAAAUGUAAUGGACAAAGUUGAAUCUUUACCUGAAAUUCAGUCUUAUCUUGCUCCCUUUGAUUUGUUGCACCUAAAAGUUGGAGUUUUUGAGUGAAAAAUGAUAUUGAUGAUGUAGGGUUUUAAGGUUAGUGAAGGUGAGUGUUGAAGAAUAAAACUAACAAUGGGGGAGUGAUCAUGCUGGUUCAAAGUAUAUCAGAUAGUUCUGAAGCUACAUCUAUGGAAUAUUUUGACGCUAAGACGUUCUGUAGAUGUAGCUACGAAAAAAAUGUUGAACUGAAUUAAUUUUAUGUUUUUACCAACGUUUACAAGUUUAAAAUGCUUCCGUAGAAAUAGCUCCAAAAAAAAAUUUGGCAAAAAAAAGGUGCUUCCUGAUGUGUAUCUCCAGAAUCAGGGGGCAUGAAUGAAAUUUUGCUAGGUGCCUAAUAGUAUCAAGGGGUGGAUGGAGAUAUUCUUUUUGAUUUUAUAAGUUAAUAAUUUGUUUUAUUUUUGUUGUAAGAAGAUAUGGUGUGUUGUAAGAAGAUAUGGUGUAUUCCAUUUUGGCUUCGCAAUUGGUAUAAAAUGUUUUUAUUUUAAAAAUAGGCAUACUAGGUUCAAUGUUUUUGUUUCAGAAAUGGGCAAAAUAGGUUUAAUGUUUCUGUUUCAAAAAUGGGCAAAAUAGAUUAUGUAAUACAGGUUAAAACGAAAAUAUAUAAAAAAAAUUAAUAACAAUUAUUUCCCAUAGGAUAUUUUAAUAAAUUGAUGUAGUAAGUUUGAAUCUAUUACCUCGGUGUUUCAUAUAAAUGAGGGAACAAUUAUAAAAAUGCAAUUGUUAGAGAUCAAACCCAUGACCAAUAAGUCUUUCCCCUUAGUGGAAUUUCAACUGAGGGAUAAAAUGAUGCACUUUCAUGACGUCCUUCAUUACCUCACAUAAGAAAUAGAGGUUAACCAUCAUUUCUAAUCGAGUUAAAAAUGUUUUUUAUAGUUGUGAUGAUAAAACACUAAUAAAUAUCUAAAUCUAAAUGACAUUUAAAGAUGAAAAAAUCUAACACAAAUUAUAUUAUGUAGAAAAUUAAAAG